rnacentral:misc_RNA from 1 species
GAUGAAGAACGCAGCGAAAUGCGAUACGUAAUGUGAAUUGCAGAAUUCAGUGAAUCAUCGAGUCUUUGAACGCACAUUGCGCCCCCUGGUAUUCCGGGGGGCAUGCCUGUCCGAGCGUCAUUGCUGCCCUCAAGCCCGGCUUGUGUGUUGGGUCUCGUCCCCCUUCCCGGGGGGACGGGCCCGAAAGGCAGCGGCGGCACCGCGUCCGGUCCUCGAGCGUAUGGGGCUUUGUCACCCGCUCUGGAGGCCCGGCCGGCGCUUGCCGAUCAACCAAAACUUUUUUCCAGGUUGACCUCGGAUCAGGUAGGGAUACCCGCUGAACUUAAGCAUAUCAAUAAGCGGAGGA